AUUGAACGCUAGCGGCAUGCCUUACACAUGCAAGUCGAACGAGUGGCGGACGGGUGAGUAAUGUAUCGGAACCUGCCCAGUAGCGGGGGAUAACUACUGGAAAGAGUAGCUAAUACCGCAUACUAUUGGAGCUGCCGAUAUGGGAUUAGCUAGUUGGUGGGGUAAAGGCUCACCAGGGCGACGAUCCGUAGCUGGUUUGAGAGGAUGACCAGCCACACUGGGACUGAGACACGGCCCAGACUCCUACGGGAGGCAGCAGUGGGGAAUAUUGGACAAUGGGGGAAACCCUGAUCCAGCCAUGCCGCGUGUAUGAGAAGGCCUUCGGGUUGUAAAGUACUUUUGGCGGAGAAGCGGUAUUUGCAGAAGAAGCACCGGCUAACUACGUGCCAGCAGCCGCGGUAAUAC
rnacentral:rRNA from 1 species